rnacentral:rRNA from 1 species
UAUCUCUGUAGAGUCUGCAUAUCAAUAAGCGGAGGAAAAGAAACUAACAAGGAUUCCCUUAGUAACGGCGAGUGGAAGCGGGAAGAGCUCAAAUUUGAAAUCUUCAAGGUUUUACCUUGACGAAUUGUAGUUUAAAGAAGUGUUUUCUGCUGGAGUUUUCGGUAAAAGUUCUUUGGAAUAGGACAUCAUAGAGGGUGAGAAUCCCGUAUUUGACCAUUUAUUUCAGCUGUGUGAUACACUUUCAAAGAGUCGGAUUGUUUGGGAAUGCAGUCCAAAAUGGGUGGUAAAUUUCAUCUAAAGCUAAAUAUUGGCGAGAGACCGAUAGCGAACAAGUACCGUGAGGGAAAGAUGAAAAGAACUUUGAAAAGAGAGUUAAACAGUACGUGAAAUUGUCAAAAGGGAAGCGUUUGACACCAGUGUUGUUUUCUCGAAAAUCAAUUAAAAAUGGCUUGAUUUUGUGUUGUAUUGACCUUAAAAGCUUUCUUCACUUUUUUCAUGUCUUUUUUAAUGCACUUUUCGUUUAACAAGUCAACAUCAGUUUCUUUUGUUGUAAAAAGGUCAUUGGAAGGUGGCUUUCUUUUCGGAGAAAGUGUUUAUAGCCUUUGACUCCUGCAAUCGGAGAGACUGAGGUCUGCAGCGUAGAUCCUUCUGGAUUAGAUUCAUUUGUGCUAAGUUACAACCGUUUAUAGACAACUUGUUGACUAUAUUCGAUCCUGUAGCUUACUCGCUUAUGUAAUUUUACCUACGCUUAGGAUGUUGACUGAUAUGUAGUCGUA